CAUCUAAAAAUAUAGAUGUUAUUAUGACUUGAAAUUUUUUUUAAAGAAAUUAUUAAAUAAAUGACUAAAAAUUAAAAAGUUUUUUCUUACUACAGAAAGAUAAUUAAUACAUGUUUUUAACGUUGUCUAAAAAUGCAAAAAUUAAAAAAAAAAUUACAGUCAAAUGAUUAUUUGAUCAAUUGUUUUGAGCAUUAUUAUAUCUUCUUGAUUCACCCACGUAAAUACAAUUACGGAAUUACAACUUGAGUCAAAUGAGUAUUAGUAGUAUGCAAUAAUACAGUAUUUAAUUUAGGUAUUAUUAGCGUAAAACAGUCUUUAAUAGUGGUUUUGUUAAAUUAAAAUGUUAAGCUCUACAUAUGAAUUGACCUAUAUUGAAAAAGUUUGAAAAGAUUAUUGUCAAUGAAAUUAUGAUCGAUCUUCUAUUCAGUUGAUUUAUCAUUUGUUGAUAAAUAAAAAAAAACUUCGAUCAAAAAAAUGUUUCAGAGGUUACAGAAUUUAGGAAAACGCAUUUUUGUUACCACAUCUGUUAUAACUUCAUAAUGGUUAUUAUUUACAUGAUUGCCAAGAAUUUUCAGAGUAUACAUAUAAGGAGGUUUCUAAGAAUUCUGCUGCGGCAAAUAAUUCAUGAAACUCUGCAUACGUGGCUACGAAUUAAAACAAAAUAAUGCACAUUAUUUUGCAGAAUAUAAUGUUAAUAUUUGUUAAUUCAUUUUUUUUCCUUUUUUAUUUAAAAGCGUAUUCAAUACAUCUGUACUAUUACAGCGUUAUUAAAUGUUACUUAAAAAUAUUUAUUAAAAAUAAUUUGUUGAUAAAUCUUAGUCUUAUAUA